GGCUCAGAAUCAACGCUGGCGGCGUGCCUAACACAUGCAAGUCGCACGAGAAAAUGGGGGCAACCCCAUGAGUACAGUGGCGUACGGGUGAGUAACACGUGACUAACCUACCUUCGAGUGGGGAAUAACCUCGGGAAACCGGGGCUAAUACCGCAUAACAUCUAAGGAUCAAAGCAGCAAUGCGCUUGAAGAGGGGGUCGCGGCCGAUUAGCUAGUUGGCAGGGUAAUGGCCUACCAAGGCGACGAUCGGUAUCCGGCCUGAGAGGGCGCACGGACACACUGGAACUGAAACACGGUCCAGACUCCUACGGGAGGCAGCAGUGGGGAAUUUUGCGCAAUGGGGGAAACCCUGACGCAGCAACGCCGCGUGGAGGAUGAAGGUCUUUGGAUUGUAAACUCCUUUCGAUCGGGACGAUUAUGACGGUACCGGAAGAAGAAGCACCGGCUAACUCUGUGCCAGCAGCCGCGGUAAUACAGAGGGUGCAAGCGUUGUUCGGAAUUAUUGGGCGUAAAGGGCGCGUAGGCGGUGCGGUAAGUCUCUAGUGAAAUCUCCGGGCUCAACUCGGAGCCUGCUAGGGAAACUGCCGUGCUUGAGUGUGGGAGAGGUGAGUGGAAUUCCCGGUGUAGCGGUGAAAUGCGUAGAUAUCGGGAGGAACACCUGUGGCGAAAGCGGCUCACUGGACCACAACUGACGCUGAGGCGCGAAAGCUAGGGGAGCAAACAGGAUUAGAUACCCUGGUAGUCCUAGCCCUAAACGAUGAUUGCUUGGUGUAGCAGGUACCCAAUCCUGCCGUGCCGAAGCUAACGCGAUAAGCAACCCGCCUGGGGAGUACGGUCGCAAGGCUGAAACUC
rnacentral:rRNA from 1 species